CCUCCACCUGGAAUGCAUUUCGCUUACCUCGCUGCCAUGGAACGAUGUCCAUCUCCAGAGACUCCUUCGUCAGAGGCCACUUGAUCAGCCAGUCCACGCCUUUCUAGGCUAAAUAUUGGAUUGAGAAAUUCUGAGGCAUCUCCUAGCCCUUCUUUGACUCCGUCUUCAGUUGAUGGUCCAAAUUUUCCAUCACCUGGAAAGUUAGAUCAUCUACGGAGGGUGCGCAUCAUCGCUGAUGGAGAAGGGUUUUAUCCUUCUAGGCCAGCUGCAAAUGCAAUCUCAAUAGCAAUACAAAAACUUUAUAGUGGUGCCUUCGCGACGUGCGGUGAAGUGCCAUGUCAUACGCAGCAGGCGAUCCUUAAUGAGUUUAUGAAAAAGUGUACAUGGAACCCUGUUGAGGAUAAUGUUAUUAGAAGUAAUUUUACAAAGAAGGCGAGUUCUCAGUUGUCAAACAUUUUUUUUGAAGCUCGAAAAAAAGGUCAAAAACCUGGCUAGCUUAGGACAGAUUACUGGGAGGAGCUUAAUCAAUACUGGGCUAUGCCGGAGUUUCAAAAGAAGAGCGCCCAGACAAAGGCAGCUCUAAAGUCUGAGAAGGGCGGCUCAUAGCACACUUGUGGUUCAGUGUCCAUGGGGACUGCUAGGAGGAAAUUAUUACUCUUGGUAGACCACCCAAUCGUCAUGAGGUAUGGAAGAAGACCCAUACGAAAAUCGAAGACGGAAAAGAAGUUUGGGUCGAGCCACAUGCAGAGGAUACCUAUAAUCAGUAUAAUCAAGCGAUGGAGGAGCUCAGUAGAAGUCAGUCGACUGAUGAUCAAGGCAAUACAAUCAUGCCAUCGGAGGAACAAACUAUCUCCUGUUGGUUGGACGUGGUCGGCGGUGUGGAUAAGGGAAGAGCGUACGGCCUUUGCUCUGAGAAGAACUUUCACCGCCUCCAGUGUGGAUUGCAAGGUAUAGGAAGUUCUGCCACUGUUUCAAAUGAGCAGCAUGAGGAGAUGAGACACAAAAUUUAGGAACUUUCUAGGAAUUAUCAGGAGGAACGGAAUAAAAGGUUGGAGGAGGAGCGACAUAGGAUAAAUCUUGAGUCAGAUGUCAAAGAACUCAAGAACCAGGUGUGUAACCUCAUCAAGUUUCCCCGCUCACCGCCCCUGAGCCCCGAUCAUGAUGAUGGUGAGGAUGUAGAGGAUCAGGAGGAUCAGGAGCAUGGAGAUGAUGAGGAUCAAGAGGAUAGAGAGCAUGGAGAGGCUGAAAUGGAGUAUUAGGUGUCCGUUGUUAUUUUUGUUCUAACUUAUGUUAUUUUGGAUUGUUUGAAGUCUAGUGGGAUGCUUUUGAUAGAUGUUUGGAUAACGUCGA